rnacentral:rRNA from 1 species
UCUUGGUCAAUGGGCGCAAGCCUGAACCAGCGAUGCCGCGUGAGUGAUGAAGGCCUUCGGGUUGUAAAGCUCUGUGGGGAGGGACGAAAGAAUCGGUUCUAAUAGGACCGAAGUUGACGGUACCUCCUUAGCAAGCACCGGCUAACUCUGUGCCAGCAGCCGCGGUAAUACAGAGGGGGCAAGCGUUAUUCGGAAUUAUUGGGCGUAAAGGGCGCGUAGGCGGCUUUUCAAGUGACGGGUGAAAUCCCUCGGCUUAACCGAGGAACUGCCUGUCAGACUGGAAGGCUUGAGACCGGGAGAGGUGAGUGGAAUUCCCAGUGUAGCGGUGAAAUGCGUAGAUAUUGGGAGGAACACCGGUGGCGAAGGCGGCGAUCUGGACGAUGACUGACGCUGAGACGCGAAAGCGUGGGGAGCAAAC